GAGCCAGCCUGGAGGAGAGGUACAGGCUGCACCGCUCUGCAGAGAGCUGGCCAUCCCGGCGGAAGCAAAGACGCCAGCAGGCUGAGCCAGCUCGGGAAGACGGACAAGAGGAUGCUCUGCUCAAAAUCCUUGGUGUCGUACUUGACCCCUCCUUCUCACUCUCACACCUGUGUCAUCAGCAAAUCUCACUGCCACCUUCACAACAUCUUCGAAAGGAAAUAUCCAUUGCCGCGAUAUAUGCUCAAGAUGGAAUCACUGUCUCCCAGCUCCAGGGCACAGCACGCGUCAAGUGAUGACAGAUGUAGAACUCUCCUUACUAUGAAAGAGGGAGGAGAGAUUCAGCAAGGUCUCCUUGUUCAGCAAGCAAUGAAGAACUGGAUGAAAAUCUGUUAACCCAUGCAUGUAAGGAGUCUUCCUGUAUUUCAACUCCCACUCAUUUAAUCCACAGAAUUCAUGCUGACUGGUUAAUUCUGACAUACACUUUGGGAGUAUUUCCAACUUAGAAGACCAUGAAACAAAAUUUUAACUAGAAUGGCAUAAAAAGGAUGGUCAAUUUACAGUCUUGAUAUUUACUGAUAACAUAUAAUAAACCAAACAUUUAAUUCCGGCAAUGACACCUUUACUAGCAAUCUACAAGCAUUAUGGUGUUGGGUCAAAUAGGGUUUAACUUCAAUAAUCUAAAAUUACUAAAUCAGGUAAAUGUUGCAAAUCAGCUAAUCCCUUUCAGGAGUUUCCUUUUCUGU